rnacentral:rRNA from 1 species
GGGAGGACUGCCCCUAUGGGGUAUAAAAACGAUUUUUAUGGGGGAAUAAAAGUCGAGAAAAGGGACCCGUUUGGCAUGUGCGGCCUGAAUAAGGGCCGGGCUAUUUCCGGGCCCGGCAGGCCGCGGGUAUUAGGAAAGUCCGGGGGUUAUUCGGGAUUUAUUGGUUUUAAGGGAGGGCAGGGGAGGGAUAAGGGGGAGGUGAAAAGUUCCCGGCUCAACCGGGGAAAUGCGUCGCGAACUGUUUUUUUGAGGGAGGGGGAGGUCGGGGGAAUUCGUGGUGUAGCGGUGAAAUGCUUAGAUAUCACGAAGAACCCCGAUUGGGAAAGGCAGCCGUGGAGUCCUUAACUGACGCUAAAGCUCGAAAGUGCGGGGUAUCGAACAGGAUUAGAUACCCUGGUAGUCCGCACGGUAAACGAUGGAUGCCCGCUGUCUGCGAUACACUGUAGGCGGCCAAGAGAAAUCGUUAAGCAUCCCAUCUGGGGAGUACGCCGGCAACGGUGAAACUCAAAGGAAUUGACGGGGGCCCGCACAAGCGGAGGAACAUGUGGUUUAAUUCGAUGAUACGCGAGGAACCUUACCCGGGCUUGAACUGCAGGCGUACGAUACAGAGAUGUUGAGGCCCUUCGGGGUGCCUGUGGAGGUGCUGCAUGGUUGUCGUCAGCUCGUGCCGUGAGGUGUCGGCUUAAGUGCCAUAACGAGCGCAACCCCUUUCUCCAGUUGCCAUCAGGUAAUGCUGGGCACUCUGGAGACACUGCCACCGUAAGGUGUGAGGAAGGUGGGGAUGACGUCAAAUCAGCACGGCCCUUACGUCCGGGGCUACACACGUGUUACAAUGGGUGGUACAGAGAGUCGGUCGUCUGCAAAUGCGAUCCAAUCCUUAAAGCCAUCCUCAGUUCGGAUUGGGGUCUGCAACCCGACCCCAUGAAGCUGGAUUCGCUAGUAAUCGCGCAUCAGCCAUGGCGCGGUGAAUACGUUCCCGGGCCUUGCACACACCGCCCGUCAAG